CGCUGUUUACCAAAAACAUCGCCUCUUGCAAUUAAACAUAAGAGGUCCUGCUCCAGUGCCCGUGUUCAACGGCCGCGGUAUUUUAACCGUGCAAAGGAGCGCAAUCACUUGUCCCUUAAAUGGGGACCUGUAUGAAUGGCACGACGAGGCUUGACUGUCUCCUCUCUCCAGUCAAUGAAAUUGAUCUCCCCGUGCAGAAGCGGGAUAUUAUCAUAAGACGAGAAGACCCUAUGAAGCUUUAGACACCGGGACAGAUUAUGUUAAACAACCCUUCUAAAGGAAUAAACCUAGUAACCCCUGUCCAAAUGUCUUUGGUUGGGGCGACCGCGGGGAAAUAAAUAACCCCCAUGUGGACUGAGAGAAUUAACUCUCUUACAACCCAGAGCUACAGCUCUAAGUAACAAAACUUUUGACCUAAAGGAUCCGGCAAUGCCGAUCAACGAACCGAGUUACUCUAGGGAUAACAGCGCAAUCCCCUUUUAGAGUCCCUAUCGACAAGGGGGUUUACGACCUCGAUGUUGGAUCAGGACAUCCUAAUGGUGCACCGCUAUUAAGGUUCGUUUGUCAACGAUUAAAGUUUCUAGUUCAGACCGG
rnacentral:rRNA from 1 species